UCCGUAGGCGGUGCGGCAAGUCGGAAGUGAAAUCUCAGGGCUUAACCCUGAGGCUGCUUCCGAAACUGCCGUGCUCGAGUGCGAGAGAGGCGAGUGGAAUUGCAGGUGUAGCGGUGAAAUGCGUAGAUAUCUGCAGGAACAUCCGAGGCGAAAGCGGCUCGCUGGAUCGCAACUGACGCUGAGGGACGAAAGCUAGGGGAGCAAACAGGAUUAGAUACCCUGGUAGUCCUAGCCCUAAACGAUCAGGACUGGGCGUGGGCCUCGUACGGGGCGUCGUGCCGCAGCUAACGCGUUAAGUCCUGCGCCUGGGAGGUACGGUCGCAAGGCUGAA
rnacentral:rRNA from 1 species